GAAAAUAUGCUUUUUUUAAGGGAAUAUUCAGCCUGUGCAAGAUAUAAGCUCAGUUAAUUCAAGUUUUAAAUUCUGUGUAAGUGCGGUCCACUACACUCCCUCUGGGUCAUUGAUAUCACAGUAAGACUUACGAGUAGCUUUUGCAAGCAGCCUACGAAGAAUUUUAUUUUUCUCUCUUUCUCUGUCCCCCUCCUUCUCCUUCUCUGACACACACGCACUCCUAGGUCCCAUAUGAUUUCUGCUUCCAUGCUACACUCAUUUCUGCUGUUAAUGGUGCUAUGAUAUUUGCUGUCCAUGGUGCUGUGCAGUUGACCUCUCAUCCCUAGCAGUGCAGACUCCUGUUCUUAGCGGGGCCAGGCACACCACUUGCAGCAUUCUACCUUGCACUGGCUCUUGUUUCCCUUCAGCACUUCCCACCCUCAGUCAUACUUUGUGACAUCAGAGAGGUUCUCCAUCUUUUCUCCGUUGGCUCAUCUAAUGAAGAUUCCAUCCACAUCCAUUCAGCCUUCUCCUCAUACACCCCUUUCAAGCUCUACUUCUUUGACAAUUUCUAUGCUCCAUCAUUCAUGUGCAACAAAGCCUAGAGGAGAAGUUAUUGUCAUCUCCUAUUUCCAGAAAUACCUUCAAAUUCCAGGGUCACCUAUCCCAUGGAGAUUUGCACUUCUAGUGAUGCACGUAUGGACAUAUGCAUCCCAUUGGUUCUCCUGGGGAAGUCGGCAAGGAAGGCCUGUGCUGAAGUAGGGGUGCUGUCAGAGAAUGUCUGCAAGAAGCCAGCCAGAGUUCAUGCAGAGCUGGUUGUCAGCCGCAGCAGCUGGAAUAGAAGACAGUUGAAGCCUAGAGGAUCUGAAGAGCUGCCCAAGGUGUGUCCAACGCACAUUGCAAUUGCU
rnacentral:lncRNA from 1 species